rnacentral:rRNA from 1 species
ACCGUACCUAAACCAACACAGGUGGAUAAGCUGAAAAAGCAAAGGCCAGGCAGACCCCCGGGAAAGGAACUCGGCAAACUACUAGCGUGACUUCGGAGAAAGCUAGACCCUCCUUUGGGAGGGUGUCACUAAAGAGGGGAUGGCAACUGUUUACUAAAAACACAGGGCUCUGCUAUGUGUCCAACACAUUGUAUAGGGCCUGACGCCUGCCCGGUACUGGAAGAUAAUCAACCCUCAUGAAAGUGGGGGUGUGGAAGGACCAGUGAACGGCAGCCAUAACUCUGAUGGUUCUAAGGUAGCGAAAUUCCUUGCCAAAUAAUUGUUGGCCCGCAUGAAUGGCGUCAUGACUGUCCUGCUGUCUCUCCCGGGGCGCCAGCGAAUUUGACAUUCUCGUGAAGAGGCGAGAGUUUGAGCACGGGACGAUGAGACCCCGUGCACCUUGACUUCAAGUUGUUCGUGCUUUUCUUUUUUAACAAGCUCAGGAGAGGUGGGACUGGGAUCCAGGUAAAUGAGAUACCACCCUUGUUAGGAAAAAAAGCUCUAACUGUGGUAAUAUACCACAGAGAGAUGGACAGUGUGGGAGUUUCUCUGGGGCGGAGGCCUCCAAAAUAGUAUCGGGGGCGCGCCAAGGUUAAGAUUCACCCUGAAGGGGGUUUGAAAAGGUGGUAAUCCAUUCUCUUAGCCUGACUGUGAGAAAGACUCUUCGAACAGGCACGCAAGUGGGCGAUAGUGACCCAGUGUUUGGCAGUGGAACAAACACUGAUCAUCGGAUCAAAGGUACGCCGGGGAUAACAGGUUUAUCGUUUCCUAGAGUCCCUAUCGACGAAACGGUUUGACACCUCGAUGUCGACUCUUCGUGUCCUCCGGCUGCAGAAGGUCGGAAGGGUAGGACUGUUCGUCCUUUAAAACGGAACGUGAGUUGGGUUUAAUGCGUCGCGAGACAGUAUGGUUCCUAUCUGUGCUCAACUUGGACUGAGACCAGGCCCCUUAGUACGAGAGGAUCGAUGGGGUCCCAACCUCUGGUGUACCGGUUAUUGGUUCUCCAGUAACGCCGGGCAGCUACGUUGGCAACCAGAACCGCUGAAAGCAUCUUAAGCGGGAAAGGUGUGUUGAGACGUGUCCCUUCCUUCGUAGUAGGCUCCUACGUAGAUCGGCAACAGGUUAAUAAACGUAAGUUUUCGCUUGGUUGUACGAA